GGUUUCGUGGUGUAGUUGGUUUAUCACGUCAGUCUAACACACUGAAGGUCCCCGGUUCAAGCCCGGGCGAAAUCA
rnacentral:tRNA from 1 species